GUCCCGAUAGUAUAAAAAUUACUUUGGUCUUGUAAACAAAAAUGAAGAGCUAUUCUUCUCAGGACA
rnacentral:tRNA from 1 species